rnacentral:rRNA from 1 species
GAUGAACGCUGGCGGCGUGCCUAAUACAUGCAAGUCGAACGAGGUGCUCUUGUAGCAAUGCGAGAGUAUCCUUGUGGCGAACGGGUGAGUAACGCGUUUGUGAACUACCCCAAAGUGUGGAAUAACAGUCCGAAAGGAUUGCUAAUACCGCAUGUGGUUAUCGGGUUUAGAAACUGAUAACUAAAGGAGCAAUUCGCUUUGGGAGGGGCCUGCGUCCCAUCAGCUAGUGGGUGAGGUGAUGGCGCACCAAGGCGAAGACGGGCAGGGGAACUGGGAGGGUGAGCCCACACAAAGGGACAGAGAGACGCGCCACAGACCUACGGGGGGGGGCGGAAGGGAAAAUUGCGGAAAGGGCGAAAGCGUCAGGCAGCAACGUCGCGUGUAAGAUGAAGGCGUUCGGGGCGUAAAGUGCUUUUUUGGGAGAGAAGAAAGGACAGGAACCGAGGAAUAAGGCUCGGCCAACUACGUG